ensembl:lncRNA
CGCAUGAUAGGGGUUGGGGCCUCCAGGGCUGAGCAGCACAGCGGGCUGCCACUUUGACCCACUCUGGCGGUCGGCCGCUUCAGUGGGAGGGAGGGCCCCAGGGCUGAGCAGCGCGGCGGGGUGCCUCUUUGACCCACUCUGGCGGUCGGCAGCCAGAGUGGGGGGGGGGCCUCCAGGGCUGAGCAGUGCGGUGGGCUGCCAAUUUGACCCAGUCUUUCUGUCGGCCGCCUGAGUAGAGGGGGGCCCGCCCGGACUGAGCUGCGCGGCGGGCUGCCACUUUGACCCACUCUGGCGGUCGGCCGCCUGAGUGGGCGGAGGGGCCCCAGGGCUGAGCAGCGCAGCGGGCUGCCACUUAGACCCACUCUGGCGGUCGGCCGCUUGGGUGGGGAAAGGGCCCCCAGGGAUGAGCAUCGUGGCGGACUGCCACUUUGACCCACUCUGGCCGUCGCCCGCCUGACUGUUGGGGGGGCUGAGCAGCGCGGCGGGCUCCCUCUUUGACCCUCUCUGGCUGUCGGCCGCCUGAGUGGGGGUGGGGCUGCCACUUUGACCCACUCUGGCGGUCAGACUCCUGAGUGGGGAGAGGGCCCCCAGGGCUGAGCAGCCCGGCGGGCUGCCACUUUGACCCACUCUGGCGGUCGGCCGCCUGAGUGGGGGGAGGGCCCCCAGGGCUGAGCAGCGCUGUGGGCUGCCACUUUGUCCCACUCUGCUGGUUGGGCACCUGAGUGUGGGGGAGGUCCCCAGGGGCUGAGCAGCAAUGCGUGCUAACACUUUGACCCACUCUGGCGGUGGGCCGCCUGAGUGGGGUGAGGGAUCCCAGGGCUGAGCAGCACGGUGGGCUGACACUUUGACCCACUCUGGCGGUGGGCCGCCUGAGUGGGGUGUGGCCACCAGGGCUGAGCAGCGCGGCGGGCUGCCACUUUGACCCACUCUGGCGGUCUGCAACCUGAGUCAGGUUGUGUCCCCCAGGGCUGAGCUGCGCGGCGGGUUGCCACUUUGACCCACUCUGGCUGUCGGCCGCAUGAGUGGGGUGAGGGACCCCAGGGCUGAGCAGCGCGGCGGGCUGCCACUUUGACCCACACUGGCGGUCUGCCGCCUGAGACAAGGUGGGGCGCCCAGGGCUGAGCUGCGCUGCGGGUUGCCACUUUGACCCACUCUGGUGGUCCGCCGCCUGAGUGGGGGUGGGUCCCCCAGGGCUGAGCAGCGCGGCGGGCAGCUACUUUGACCCACUCUGGCGGUCGGCCGCCUGAGUGUGGAGAGGUCCCCCAGGGCUGAGCAGCGUGGCGGGCUGCCCCUUUGACCCACUAUGGCGGUCUGCCACCUCAGUCAGGGUGGGGCAGCCAGGGCUGAGCUGCGAGGCGGGCUGCCAAUUUGACCCAGUCUUUCUGUCGGCCGCCUGAGUAGAGGGGGGCCCGCCCGGACUGAGCUGCGCGGCGGGCUGCCACUUUGACCCACUAUGGCGGUCUGCCACCUCAGUCAGGGUGGGGCAGCCAGGGCUGAGCUGCGCGGCGGGCUGCCACUUUGACCCACUCUGGCGGUCGGCCGCCUGAGUUGGGCGUGGGACCCCCAGGGCUGAGCAGCGCCGUGGGCUGCCACUUUGACCCACUCUGGCGGUCGGCCGCCUUAGUGGGGGGCGGGGACCCCAGGGCUGAGCAGCGCGGUGGGCUGCCACUAUGAGCCACUGUGGCGAUCGGUCGCCAGACUACGUGGGGCGCCCCCAGGGCUGAGCAGCGCUGCGGGCUGCGACUUUAACCCACUCGGGCGGUCGGCCGCCUGAGUGGGAGUGGGGCCCCCAGUGCUGAGCAGCGCGGCAGGCUGCCAGUUUGACCCACUCUGGCGGUGGGCCACCUGAGUUGGCGGUGGCCGCCAGGGGUGAGCAGCAUGGCGGGCUGCCACUUUGACCCAGUCUGGCUGUCGGCCGCCUGAGUAGAGGGGGGCCCGCCCGGGCUGGGCAGCGCAGCGGGCUGCCACUUUCACCAUUGUGGUGGUCUGCCGCCUGAGUCAGGGUUGGACCCCCAGGGCUGAGCUGCGCGGCGGGCUGCCACUAUGACCCACUCUGUCUGUCGGCCGCCUGAGUGGGGUGAGGGACCCCAGGGCUGAGCAGCGCUGCGGGCUGCCAAUUUGGGCCACUCUGGCGGUCGGACACCAGAGUGUGUGGGGCGCCCCCAGGGCUGAGCAGCGCAUCGGGCUGCCCCUUUGACCCACUAUGGCGGUCUGCCGCCUGAGUCAAG